CCUACGGGAGGCAGCAGUAGGGAAUAUUGCUCAAUGGGCGUAACCCUGAAGCAGCAACGCCGCGUGGAGGAUGAAGGUUUUCGGAGUGUAAACUCCUUUUGUUAGAGAAGAUAAUGACGGUAUCUAACGAAUAAGCACCGGCUAACUCCGUGCCAGCAGCCGCUGUAAUCAGGAGGGUGCCAGCGUUACUCGGAAUCACUGGGCGUAAAUAGGGCGUAGGCGGGAUAGCAAGUCAGAUGUUAAAUCCUCGGGCUUAACCAUAGAACUGCAUUUGAAACUGUUAUUCUAGAGUAUGGGAGAGGUAGGUGGAAUUCGUGGUGUAGGGGUAAAAUCCGUAGAGAUCAAGAGGAAUACUCAUUGCGAAGGCGACCUGCCAGAACACAACUGACGCUGAUGCGCGAAAGCGUGGGGAGCAAACAGGAUUAGAUACCCGAGUAGUC
rnacentral:rRNA from 1 species